rnacentral:rRNA from 1 species
AUUGAACGCUGGCGGCAUGCCUUACACAUGCAAGUCGAACGGUAACGCGGGGCAACCUGGCGACGAGUGGCGAACGGGUGAGUAAUGCAUCGGAACGUGCCCAGUUGUGGGGGAUAACUGCUCGAAAGAGCAGCUAAUACCGCAUACGACCUGAGGGUGAAAGCGGGGGAUCGCAAGACCUCGCGCAAUUGGAGCGGCCGAUGUCGGAUUAGCUAGUUGGUGGGGUAAAGGUCCACCAAGGCGACGAUCCGUAGCUGGUCUGAGAGGACGACCAGCCACACUGGGACUGAGACACGGCACAGACUCCUACGGGAGGCAGCAGUGGGGAAUUUUGGACAAUGGACGCAAGUCUGAUCCAGCCAUGCCGCGUGCGGGAAGAAGGCCUUCGGGUUGUAAACCGCUUUUGUACGGAACGAAACGGUCUGGGUUAAUACCCCGGGCUAAUGACGGUACCGUAAGAAUAAGCACCGGCUAACUACGUGCCAGCCGCCGCAGUAAUAC